UACGUAGGGCGCAAGCGUUGUCCGGAAUUAUUGGGCGUAAAGAGCUCGUAGGUGGUUUGUCGCGUCUGCCGUGAAAGCCCGGGGCUUAACUCCGGGUCUGCGGUGGAUACGGGCAGACUAGAGGCAGGUAGGGGAGAACGGAAUUCCGGUCGUAGCGGUGAAAUGCGCAGAUAUCAGGAGGAACACCGGUGGCGAAGGCGGGUCUCUGGGCAACAACUGACGCUGAGGAGCGAAAGCGUGGGGAGCGAACAGG
rnacentral:rRNA from 1 species